rnacentral:ncRNA from 1 species
AAGCAAGGAUAAAAACACAUUCCGGUCGGUAGUCCGGAAGCGCAGAAAUGCGUCAGUAACCUGCCUCCUUUGGUUGUCCGUUCCUUGCAAAAAA